rnacentral:rRNA from 1 species
AACGAACGCUGGCGGCAUACCUAACACAUGCAAGUCGAACGAGACCUUCGGGUCUAGUGGCGCACGGGUGCGUAACGCGUGGGAACCUGCCCUUAGGUUCGGAAUAACUCCCCGAAAGGGGUGCUAAUACCGGAUAAUGUCUUCGGACCAAAGAUUUAUCGCCUUUGGAUGGGCCCGCGUUGGAUUAGCUAGUUGGUAGGGUAAAAGCCUACCAAGGCGACGAUCCAUAGCUGGUCUGAGAGGAUGAUCAGCCACACUGGGACUGAGACACGGCCCAGACUCCUACGGGAGGCAGCAGUGGGGAAUAUUGGACAAUGGGCGAAAGCCUGAUCCAGCAAUGCCGCGUGAGUGAUGAAGGCCUUAGGGUUGUAAAGCCCUUUUACCCGGGAUGAUAAUGACAGUACCGGGAGAAUAAGCUCCGGCUAACUCCGUG